rnacentral:rRNA from 1 species
UUGGAGGGCAGUCUGGUGCCAGCAGCCGCGGUAAUUCCAGCUCCAAUAGCGUAUAUUAAAGUUGUUGCAGUUAAAAAGCUCGUAGUUGAACUUCGGGGUUUACCCAUUGGUCAGGCUUAAUUGUCUGUACUGGUGAGAUGAAUCUCUACCUUCUGAGGAACUUUCAUGCCAUUUAGUUGGUGUGAUGGGAAAUCAGGACUGUUACUUUGAAAAAAUUAGAGUGUUUAAAGCAGGCUAACGUCUGAAUACAUUAGCAUGGAAUAAUGAAAUAGGACGGACUGAUUCUAUUUCGUUGGUUUCUAGGAUCACCGUAAUGAUUAAUAGGGAUAGUUGGGGGCAUUAGUAUUCAAUUGUCAGAGGUGAAAUUCUUGGAUUUAUUGAAGACUAACUACUGCGAAAGCAUUUGCCAAGGAUGUUUUCAUUAAUCAAGAACGAAAGUUAGGGGAUCGAAGACGAUCAGAUACCGUCGUAGUCUUAACCAUAAACUAUGCCGACUAGGGAUCGGACGAAGUUAAUUUUAUAAUGACGCGUUCGGCGCCUUACGGGAAAC